GACGAACGCUGGCGGCGUGCUUAACACAUGCAAGUCGAACGGAAAGGCCCUGCUUUUGUGGGGUGCUCGAGUGGCGAACUGGUGAGUAACACGUGAGUAACCUGCCCUUGACUGUGGGAUAACUUCAGGAAACUGGGGCUAAUACCGGAUAGGAGCUCCUGCUGCAUGGUGGGGGUUGGAAAGUUUCGGCGGUUGGGGAUGGACUCGCGGCUUAUCAGCUUGUUGGGGGGGUAGUGGCUUACCAAGGCUUUGACGGGUAGCCGGCCUGAGAGGGUGAACGGCCACAUUGGGACUGAGAUACGGCCCAGACUCCUACGGGAGGCAGCAGUGGGGAAUAUUGCACAAUGGGCGGAAGCCUGAUGCAGCAACGCCGCGGGCGGGAUGACGGCCUUCGGGUUGUAAACCGCUUUCGCCUGUGACGAAGCGUGAGUGACGGUAAUGGGUAAAGAAGCACCGGCUAACUACGUG
rnacentral:rRNA from 1 species